UUAAGUUAUUAAGGGCGCACGGUGGAUGCCUUGGCACUAGAAGCCGAUGAAGGACGUUACUAACGACGAUAUGCUUUGGGGAGCUGUAAGUAAGCUUUGAUCCAGAGAUUUCCGAAUGGGGAAACCCAGCAUGAGUUAUGUCAUGUUAUCGAUAUGUGAAUACAUAGCAUAUCAGAAGGCACACCCGGAGAACUGAAACAUCUUAGUACCCGGAGGAAGAGAAAGAAAAUUCGAUUCCCUUAGUAGCGGCGAGCGAAACGGGAAGAGCCCAAACCAACAAGCUUGCUUGUUGGGGUUGUAGGACACUCUAUACGGAGUUACAAAGGACGACAUUAGACGAAUCAUCUGGAAAGAUGAAUCAAAGAAGGUAAUAAUCCUGUAGUCGAAAAUGUUGUCUCUCUUGAGUGGAUCCUGAGUACGACGGAGCACGUGAAAUUCCGUCGGAAUCUGGGAGGACCAUCUCCUAAGGCUAAAUACUCUCUAGUGACCGAUAGUGAACCAGUACCGUGAGGGAAAGGUGAAAAGCACCCCGGAAGGGGAGUGAAAUAGAACCUGAAACCGUGUGCUUACAAGUAGUCAGAGCCCGUUAAUGGGUGAUGGCGUGCCUUUUGUAGAAUGAACCGGCGAGUUACGAUUUGAUGCAAGGUUAAGCAGUAAAUGUGGAGCCGUAGCGAAAGCGAGUCUGAAUAGGGCGUUUAGUAUUUGGUCGUAGACCCGAAACCAGGUGAUCUACCCUUGGUCAGGUUGAAGUUCAGGUAACACUGAAUGGAGGACCGAACCGACUUACGUUGAAAAGUGAGCGGAUGAACUGAGGGUAGCGGAGAAAUUCCAAUCGAACCUGGAGAUAGCUGGUUCUCUCCGAAAUAGCUUUAGGGCUAGCCUCAAGUGAUGAUUAUUGGAGGUAGAGCACUGUUUGGACGAGGGGCCCCUCUCGGGUUACCGAAUUCAGACAAACUCCGAAUGCCAAUUAAUUUAACUUGGGAGUCAGAACAUGGGUGAUAAGGUCCGUGUUCGAAAGGGAAACAGCCCAGACCACCAGCUAAGGUCCCAAAAUAUAUGUUAAGUGGAAAAGGAUGUGGCGUUGCCCAGACAACUAGGAUGUUGGCUUAGAAGCAGCCAUCAUUUAAAGAGUGCGUAAUAGCUCACUAGUCGAGUGACACUGCGCCGAAAAUGUACCGGGGCUAAACAUAUUACCGAAGCUGUGGAUUGUCCUUUGGACAAUGGUAGGAGAGCGUUCUAAGGGCGUUGAAGCAUGAUCGUAAGGACAUGUGGAGCGCUUAGAAGUGAGAAUGCCGGUGUGAGUAGCGAAAGACGGGUGAGAAUCCCGUCCACCGAUUGACUAAGGUUUCCAGAGGAAGGCUCGUCCGCUCUGGGUUAGUCGGGUCCUAAGCUGAGGCCGACAGGCGUAGGCGAUGGAUAACAGGUUGAUAUUCCUGUACCACCUAUAAUCGUUUUAAUCGAUGGGGGGACGCAGUAGGAUAGGCGAAGCGUGCGAUUGGAUUGCACGUCUAAGCAGUAAGGCUGAGUAUUAGGCAAAUCCGGUACUCGUUAAGGCUGAGCUGUGAUGGGGAGAAGANGUCUUCGAGUCGUUGAUUUCACACUGCCGAGAAAAGCCUCUAGAUAGAAAAUAGGUGCCCGUACCGCAAACCGACACAGGUAGUCAAGAUGAGAAUUCUAAGGUGAGCGAGCGAACUCUCGUUAAGGAACUCGGCAAAAUGACCCCGUAACUUCGGGAGAAGGGGUGCUCUUUAGGGUUAACGCCCAGAAGAGCCGCAGUGAAUAGGCCCAAGCGACUGUUUAUCAAAAACACAGGUCUCUGCUAAACCGUAAGGUGAUGUAUAGGGGCUGACGCCUGCCCGGUGCUGGAAGGUUAAGAGGAGUGGUUAGCUUCUGCGAAGCUACGAAUCGAAGCCCCAGUAAACGGCGGCCGUAACUAUAACGGUCCUAAGGUAGCGAAAUUCCUUGUCGGGUAAGUUCCGACCCGCACGAAAGGCGUAACGAUUUGGGCACUGUCUCAACGAGAGACUCGGUGAAAUCAUAGUACCUGUGAAGAUGCAGGUUACCCGCGACAGGACGGAAAGACCCCGUGGAGCUUUACUGUAGCCUGAUAUUGAAAUUCGGCACAGCUUGUACAGGAUAGGUAGGAGCCUUUGAAACGUGAGCGCUAGCUUACGUGGAGGCGCUGGUGGGAUACUACCCUAGCUGUGUUGGCUUUCUAACCCGCACCACUUAUCGUGGUGGGAGACAGUGUCAGGCGGGCAGUUUGACUGGGGCGGUCGCCUCCUAAAAGGUAACGGAGGCGCUCAAAGGUUCCCUCAGAAUGGUUGGAAAUCAUUCAUAGAGUGUAAAGGCAUAAGGGAGCUUGACUGCGAGACCUACAAGUCGAGCAGGGUCGAAAGACGGACUUAGUGAUCCGGUGGUUCCGCAUGGAAGGGCCAUCGCUCAACGGAUAAAAGCUACCCCGGGGAUAACAGGCUUAUCUCCCCCAAGAGUUCACAUCGACGGGGAGGUUUGGCACCUCGAUGUCGGCUCAUCGCAUCCUGGGGCUGUAGUCGGUCCCAAGGGUUGGGCUGUUCGCCCAUUAAAGCGGUACGCGAGCUGGGUUCAGAACGUCGUGAGACAGUUCGGUCCCUAUCCGUCGUGGGCGUAGGAAAUUUGAGAGGAGCUGUCCUUAGUACGAGAGGACCGGGAUGGACAUACCUCUGGUGUACCAGUUGUCGUGCCAACGGCAUAGCUGGGUAGCUAUGUGUGGACGGGAUAAGUGCUGAAAGCAUCUAAGCAUGAAGCCCCCCUCAAGAUGAGAUUUCCCAACUUCGGUUAUAAGAUCCCUCAAAGAUGAUGAGGUUAAUAGGUUCGAGGUGGAAGCAUGGUGACAUGUGGAGCUGACGAAUACUAAUCGAUCGAAGACUUAAUCAA
rnacentral:rRNA from 1 species